AGAUACAAUCUCCCAACCUCCACAUCCGCAAGCUUGUGCUGGACUGUGGAGCUGUGCAAGCUGAUGCUCUGACAGUGGAUCGGCUGGCGUCAUUGGAGAAGUAUUCUGAAACAGCUGUGGUUCCCCGUGCCUCUAUUUUGGCUAAAGAAGUGGAGUGGCUGCACUCAAUCAAGGCCGAUUUAGUGGUCUCAGAUGUAGUUCCGGUAGCAUGUAGAGCAGCUGCAGAUGCUGGGAUUCGGUCUGUUUGCGUCACAAAUUUCAGUUGGGAUUUCAUAUAUGCAGAGUAUGUCAUGGCAGCUGGCCAUCAUCAUCGUUCAACAGUUUGGCAGAUAGCAGAAGAUUA
rnacentral:misc_RNA from 1 species